rnacentral:rRNA from 1 species
GACGAACCGUGCGAACGUUAUUCGGAAUCACUGGGCUUAAAGCGCGUGUAGGCGGGGCGGCACGUCGGCCGCUGAAAGCCCCCGCUCAACCGGGGAAGCGGCGCCGAUACGACCGCCCUGGAGGGACGUAGGGGGACCUGGAACUUCCGGUGGAGCGGUGAAAUGCGUUGAGAUCGGAAGGAACGCCCGUGGCGAAAGCGAGGUCCUGGACGUCCGCUGACGCUGAGACGCGAAAGCCAGGGGAGGCGAACGGG